rnacentral:rRNA from 1 species
CCAGACUCCUACGGGAGGCAGCAGUGGGGAAUAUUGGGCAAUGGGCGCAAGCCUGACCCAGCAACGCCGCGUGAAGGAAGAAGGCUUUCGGGUUGUAAACUUCUUUUAAGGGGGGCGAAACAAAUGACGGUACCUCUUGAAUAAGCCACGGCUAACUACGUGCCAGCAGCCGCGGGAAUACGUAGGGGGCAAGCGUUAUCCGGAUUCACUGGGUGUAAAGGGAGCGCAGGCGGUACGGCGAGUCUGAUGUGAAAACCCGGGGCCCAACCCCGGGCCCGCACCGUAUACUGCCGGACUCGAGUGCCGGAGGGGCAGGCGGAAUUCCUGGUGUAGCGGUGAAAUGCGCAGAUAUCAGGAGGAACACCGGUGGCGAAGGCGGCCUGCUGGACGGUAACCGACGCUGAGGCUCGAACGCGUGGGGAGCGAACAGGAUUAGAUACCCGAGUAG